CCUACGGGAGGCAGCAGUGAGGAAUAUUGGUCAAUUGGUUCGAGCCUGAACCAGCCAAGUCGCGUGAGGGAAGACGGUCCUAUGGAUUGUAAACCUCUUUUGUCGGGGAGCAAAAGACGCCACGCGUGGCUUUCCGAGAGUACCCGAAGAAAAAGCAUCGGCUAACUCCGUGCCAGCAGCCGCGGUAAUACGGAGGAUGCGAGCGUUAUCCGGAUUUAUUGGGUUUAAAGGGUGCGCAGGCGGAAGAUCAAUUCAGCGGUAAAAUUGAGAGGCUCAACCUCUUCGAGCCGUUGAAACUGGUUUGCUGGAGUGAGCGAGAAGUAUGCGGAAGGCGUGGUGUAGCGGUGAAAUGCAUAGAUAUCACGCAGAACUCCGAUUGCGAAGGCAGCAUACCGGAGCUCAACUGACGCUCAUGCACGAAAGUGUGGGUAUCGAACAGGAUUAGAUACCCGUGUAGUC
rnacentral:rRNA from 1 species